AGGAUGAACGCUGGCGGCGUGCUUACACAUGCAAGUCGAACGAUGAAGCCCAGCUUGCUGGGUGGAUUAGUGGCGAACGGGUGAGUAACACGUGAGUAACCUGCCCUUAACUCUGGGAUAAGCCUGGGAAACUGGGUCUAAUACCGGAUAGGAGCGUCCACCGCAUGGUGGGUGUUGGAAAGAUUUAUCGGUUUUGGAUGGACUCGCGGCCUAUCAGCUUGUUGGUGAGGUAAUGGCUCACCAAGGCGACGACGGGUAGCCGGCCUGAGAGGGUGACCGGCCACACUGGGACUGAGACACGGCCCAGACUCCUACGGGAGGCAGCAGUGGGGAAUAUUGCGCAAUGGGCGCAAGCCUGAUGCAGCGACGCCGCGUGAGGGAUGACGGCCUUCGGGUUGUAAACCUCUUUCAGUAGGGAAGAAGCGAAAGUGACGGUACCUGCAGAAGAAGCACCGGCUAACUACGUGCCAGCAGCCGCGGUAAUACGUAGGGUGCGAGCGUUAUCCGGAAUUAUUGGGCGUAAAGAGCUCGUAGGCGGUUUGUCGCGUCUGUCGUGAAAGUCCGGGGCUUAACCCCGGAUCUGCGGUGGGUACGGGCAGACUAGAGUGCAGUAGGGGAGACUGGAAUUCCUGGUGUAGCGGUGGAAUGCGCAGAUAUCAGGAGGAACACCGAUGGCGAAGGCAGGUCUCUGGGCUGUAACUGACGCUGAGGAGCGAAAGCAUGGGGAGCGAACAGGAUUAGAUACCCUGGUAGUCCAUGCCGUAAACGUUGGGCACUAGGUGUGGGGACCAUUCCACGGUUUUCCGCGCCGCAGCUAACGCAUUAAGUGCCCCGCCC
rnacentral:rRNA from 1 species